rnacentral:rRNA from 1 species
UACAGAGGGUGCAAGCGUUGUUCGGAAUUAUUGGGCGUAAAGCGCGUGUAGGCGGCUUUGCAAGUCGGGUGUGAAAGCCCUCAGCUCAACUGAGGAAGUGCGCCCGAAACUGCAGAGCUUGAAUACCGGAGAGGAUGGCGGAAUUCCCCAAGUAGAGGUGAAAUUCGUAGAUAUCGGGAGGAACACCAGUGGCGAAGGCGGCGACCUGGACGGACACUGACGCUGAGACGCGAAAGCGUGGGGAGCAAACAGG